CCAUGUUGAAACACCGGUUCUUGUCCAAUCACCAAAGUUAAGCAACAUUGAGCCUGGUCAGUAUCUAGAUGGGUAAGCACUUGAGAAUACCAGAUGCUGUAAU